UGCCUAAUACAUGCAAGUCGAGCGGACCGGAUUGGGGCUUGCCUUGAUUCGGUCAGCGGCGGACGGGUGAGUAACACGUGGGCAACCUGCCCGCAAGACCGGGAUAACUCCGGGAAACCGGAGCUAAUACCGGAUAACACCGAAGACCGCAUGGCCUUCGGUUGAAAGGCGGCCUUUGGGCUGUCACUUGCGGAUGGGCCCGCGGCGCAUUAGCUAGUUGGUGAGGUAACGGCUCACCAAGGCGACGAUGCGUAGCCGGCCUGAGAGGGUGACCGGCCACACUGGGACUGGGACACGGCCCAGACUCCUACGGGAGGCAGCAGUAGGGAAUCUUCCGCAAUGGGCGAAAGCCUGACGGAGCGACGCCGCGUGAGCGAAGAAGGCCUUCGGGUCGUAAAGCUCUGUUGCGAGGGACGAAGGAGCGCCGUUCGAAGAGGGCGGCGCGGUGACGGUACCUCACGAGAAAGCCCCGGCUAACUACGUGCCAGCAGCCGCGGUAAUACGUAGGGGGCGAGCGUUGUCCGGAAUUAUUGGGCGUAAAGCGCGCGCAGGCGGUCUCUUAAGUCUG
rnacentral:rRNA from 1 species